rnacentral:rRNA from 1 species
GAUGAACGCUGGCGGCGUGCCUAAUACAUGCAAGUCGAGCGAACGGACGAGAAGCUUGCUUCUCUGAUGUUAGCGGCGGACGGGUGAGUAGCACGUGGAUAACCUACCUAUAAGACUGGGAUAACUUCGGGAAACCGGAGCUAAUACCGGAUAAUAUUUUGAACCGCAUGGUUCAAAAGUGAAAGACGGUCUUGCUGUCACUUAUAGAUGGAUCCGCGCUGCAUUAGCUAGUUGGUAAGGUAACGGCUUACCAGGGCAACGAUGCAUAGCCGACCUGAGAGGGUGAUCGGCCACACUGGAACUGAGACACGGUCCAGACUCCUACGGGAGGCAGCAGUAGGGAAUCUUCCGCAAUGGGCGAAAGCCUGACGGAGCAACGCCGCGUGAGUGAUGAAGGUCUUCGGAUCGUAAAACUCUGUUAUUAGGGAAGAACAUAUGUGUAAGUAACUGUGCACAUCUUGACGGUACCUAAUCAGAAAGCCACGGCUAACUACGUG